CCUACGGGAGGCUGCAGUCGGGAAUUUUGGGCAAUGGGGGCAACCCUGACCCAGCAACGCCGCGUGAGCGAUGAAGGCCUUCGGGUCGUAAAGCUCUGUCGGGAGGGAAGAAGGCUCUCGGGGUGAAUAAUCCCGGGGGAUUGACGGUACCUCCAAAGGAAGCGCCGGCUAACUCCGUGCCAGCAGCCGCGGUAAUACGGAGGGCGCACGCGUUGUUCGGAAUCACUGGGCGUAAAGCGCGUGUAGGCGGGAAAGCCCGGGGCCUAACCCCGGAACUGCACGCGAAACUGCCUCGCUGGAGUCGCGGAGAGGGUGGUGGAAUUCCCGGUGUAGUGGUGAAAGACGUAGAGAUCGGGAGGAACACCAGCGGCGAAGGCGGCCACCUGGACGAUGACUGACGCUGAGACGCGAAAGCGUGGGGAGCAAACAGGAUUAGAUACCCUAGUAGUC
rnacentral:rRNA from 1 species